rnacentral:rRNA from 1 species
AACGAACGCUGGCGGCAUGCCUAACACAUGCAAGUCGAACGAGACCUUCGGGUCUAGUGGCGCACGGGUGCGUAACGCGUGGGAACCUGCCCUUAGGUUCGGAAUAACUCCCCGAAAGGGGUGCUAAUACCGGAUAAUGUCAUCGGACCAAAGAUUUAUCGCCUUUGGAUGGGGCCGCGUUGGAUUAGCUAGUUGGUAGGGUAAAAGCCUACCAAGGCGACGAUCCAUAGCUGGUCUGAGAGGAUGAUCAGCCACACUGGGACUGAGACACGGCCCAGACUCCUACGGGAGGCAGCAGUGGGGAAUAUUGGACGAUGGGCGAAAGCCUGAUACAGCAAUGCCGCGUGAGUGAUGAAGGCCUUAGGGUUGUAAAGCUCUUUUACCCGGGAUGAUAAUGACAGUACCGGGAGAAUAAGCACCGGCUAACUCCGUG